CACGGAGUUAGCCGGGGCUUCUUCUGCUGGUACCGUCAUUAUCUUCCCAGCUGAAAGAGCUUUACAACCCUAAGGCCUUCAUCACUCACGCGGCAUGGCUAGAUCAGGGUUGCCCCCAUUGUCUAAGAUUCCCCACUGCUGCCUCCCGUAGGAGUCUGGGCCGUGUCUCAGUCCCAGUGUGGCUGAUCAUCCUCUCAAACCAGCUAUGGAUCGUCGGCUUGGUGGGCCAUUACCCCACCAACUACCUAAUCCAACGCGGGCCGAUCCUUCUCCGAUAAAUCUUUCCCCCAAAGGGCGUAUACGGUAUUACUCCCAGUUUCCCGGGGCUAUUCCGUAGAGAAGGGCACGUUCCCACGCGUUACUCACCCGUCCGCCGCUAGACCCGAAGGUCUCGCUCGACUUGCAUGUGUUAAGCCUGCCGCCAGCGUUCGUUCUGAGCCAGGAUCAAACUCU
rnacentral:rRNA from 1 species